CUAGUCCUUGAAUUCUGUUAUUUAAGGCAUGAUCCAUCAUCAUGCAGCUCCAGAUACAAUAAAGUACACUUAUGUCUGCAGGAGCAUAUGACUCAAGAUGUGGAUUUUCAGCAGGAGCACAAUGAUACACUGGAGGUCAACUUUUGUUGUGUUAAUAUCUCCUGCAUGAAUCUUGUGACUGCUUCCGUAGAAUGGAGUCCCAUUGCCCCAGCUCCCAACAAACUCCCUCUGUUGCCCUAGUGUAUUAGCUUAUUGCGGACCAUUAGCUCCAGCAGAACGUCUUUUGAAGACAGAGCACUGAAUGCCUUGUCCA